GAUGAACGCUAGCGGCAGGCUUAAUACAUGCAAGUCGUGGGGCAGCAUGAGUGUAGCAAUACAUUUGAUGGCGACCGGCAAACGGGUGCGGAACACGUACACAACCUUCCUAUAAGUGGGGAAUAGCCCAGAGAAAUUUGGAUUAAUACCCCGUAACAUAACGAUGUGGCAUCACAUUGUUAUUAUAGCUUCGGCGCUUAUUGAUGGGUGUGCGGCUGAUUAGAUAGUUGGCGGGGUAACGGCCCACCAAGUCUACGAUCAGUAGCUGAUGUGAGAGCAUGAUCAGCCACACGGGCACUGAGACACGGGCCCGACUCCUACGGGAGGCAGCGGUAAGGAAUAUUGGUCAAUGGACGCAAGUCUGAACCAGCCAUGCCGCGUGAAGGAUUAAGGUCCUCUGGAUUGUAAACUUCUUUUAUCUGGGACGAAAAAAGGCUUUUCUAAGUCACUUGACGGUACCAGAUGAAUAAGCACCGGCUAACUCCGUGCCAGCCGCCGCUGUAACAC
rnacentral:rRNA from 1 species